CAAAAACAUGUUUUUUAGAUUUUUUUAAAAGUUUGGCCUGCUCAAUGAACAUUUUAAAUAGCCGCAGUAUUUUGACUGUGCUAAGGUAGCAUAAUAAUUAGUCUUUUAAUUGAGGUUUGGUAUGAAUGGUUAAACGAGAAAUUUACUUUAUUUAUUUUAUUUUUUUAAACUUUUUUUUUUGGUUAAAAUACCAAAAUUUUUAAGAGGGACGAUAAGACCCUAUAGAUCUUUAAAAUUGUUUUUUUUUUCUUUUUUUUUGAUGUUUUUUUAUGAAAAUUAUUUCAUUUUUUUUGUUGGGGUGACAUAUAAAAUUUUAAACUUUAUAUUUUUUUUACAUUUAUUUUUGGUUAUUUUGAUCUUUUUUUUUGAUUUUAAGAAUAAGAUACCUUAGGGAUAACAGCGUUAUAUAUUUGGAGAGUUCUAAUCGAUAAAUGUGUUUGCGACCUCGAUGUUGGAUUAAAAUUUUACUAUGGGGUAGGUUUUAUAGUUUAGGUCUGUC
rnacentral:rRNA from 1 species